UCAACUUUAUUAGAAGAGACGCAUUUAUUAGAUAAAAAGCCAAUGCAUGCUUUUACAGUAUGAAAAUUGGUGAUUUAUAAUAACUUAGCAAAUCGCAAAGUGAAAACAGGCGAUAAAUCAUUCAAGUUUCUGACCUAUCAGCUUUCGACGGUAUGGUAUUGGCUUACCGUGGCAGUGACGGUUAACGGGGGAUUAGGGUUCGAUUCCGGAGAGGGAGCCUGAGAAACGGCUACCACAUCUAAGGAAGGCAGCAGGCGCGCAAAUUACCCAAUUCUAACAGUUUGAGAGAGGUAGUAACAAGAAAUAACAAUACAAGGCAGUUAAAAUGCUUUGUAAUUGGAAUGAUAGAAAUUUAAACCCUUUUUAAAGUAUCAAUUGGAGGGCAAGUCUGGUGCCAGCAGCCGCGGUAAUUCCAGCUCCAAUAGCGUAUAUUAAAAUUGUUGCAGUUAAAAAGCUCGUAGUUGAAGUUCUGCUAAAAGUAACCGGUCUGCUUUGAAUAAAAGUGGUAUCUUGGUAUGUAUUUAGCAAUGAUGUCCUUUGAAGUGUUUUUUACUUUAUUGUAAUAAAGCAUAUUCAGGACUUUUACUUGAGAAAAUUAGAG
rnacentral:rRNA from 1 species